rnacentral:rRNA from 1 species
GACGAACGCUGGCGGCGUGCCUAAUACAUGCAAGUAGAACGCAGUUGCGAACGGGUGAGUAACGCGUAGGUAACUGCCUCAUAGCGGGGGAUAACUAUUGGAAACGAUAGCUAAUACCGCAUACUGUGAGAUGGACCUGCGUGGUAUUAGGUAGUUGGUGAGGUAAAGGCUCAACAAGGCGACGAUACCUUGGCGGCCUGAGAGGGUGGACGGGCACACUGGGACGUAGACACGGCCCAGACUCCUACGGGAGGCAGCAGUAGGGGAUCUUCGGCCAUGGAGGGAAGUCUGACCGAACAACGCCGCAGUAGUGAAAAAGGGUUUCGGGUCGUAAAGCUCUGUUGUUAGAGAAGCGGUAACUACCCAGAAAGGGACGGCUAACUACGUGCCAGCAGCCGCGGUAAUUC